UCCAGACUCCUACGGGAGGCAGCAGUGAGGAAUAUUGGUCAAUGGGCGCGAGCCUGAACCAGCCAAGUCGCGUGAGGGAAGACGGCCCUACGGGUUGUAAACCUCUUUUGUCAGGGAGCAAGAACGGAUACGUGUAUCCGAGCGAGAGUACCUGAAGAAAAAGCAUCGGCUAACUCCGUGCCAGCAGCCGCGGUAAUACGGAGGAUGCGAGCGUUAUCCGGAUUUAUUGGGUUUAAAGGGUGCGCGGGCGGACCGGCAAGCCGGCGGUAAAAUCGGGGGGCCCAACCCCGCCCAGCCGUCGGAACUGCCGGGCUAGAGUGGGCGAGAAGUGCGCGGAAUGCGUGGUGUAGCGGUGAAAUGCAUAGAUAUCACGCAGAACUCCGAUUGCGAAGGCAGCGCACCGGCGCCCUACUGACGCUCAGGCACGAAAGCGUGGGUAUCGAACAGGAGUAGAUACCCGAGUA
rnacentral:rRNA from 1 species